rnacentral:rRNA from 1 species
UGGCGAACGGGUGAGUAACGCGUGAGGAACCUGCCUCAAAGAGGGGGACAACAGUUGGAAACGACUGCUAAUACCGCAUAAGCCCACGGGUCGGCAUCGACCUGAGGGAAAAGGAGCAAUCCGCUUUGAGAUGGCCUCGCGUCCGAUUAGCUAGUUGGUGAGGUAACGACCCACCAAGGCGACGAUCGGUAGCCGGACUGAGAGGUUGAACGGCCACAUUGGGACUGAGACACGGCCCAG